rnacentral:lncRNA from 1 species
UCAUAUUUGAAUUCCCCUUUAUAGGUUUAUUCUAGGAAGGUAUUUGAAGAAUAAGUAAAAUGACAAUUAUAUUUUGGGGCCGUUAUCAAAGAUUGAUAAUAAUAUUGAAUAUUAGGAAUUAAUUGCCAAACAAGUGGUUUUGGAUGUUACAUGAAGAGGUUAUAAAAUUGAUGCUAGGUCAAAAGUGAAGCCAAAUAUGUAAUUAGAUUGGAGAUAGAAAGAAAUUUUAAUAUUAUAUGAUGAAAGAUUAUGAUUAAUAAGAAUGAGA